GGUCCUAUAGUCAAUAUUAUGAUAUCAGACUGCAAUUCUGAAGGAGUAGAUUUGUUUUACUAAGACCU
rnacentral:tRNA from 1 species